rnacentral:rRNA from 1 species
CCUACGGGAGGCAGCAGUAAGGAAUAUUGGUCAAUGGACGAAAGUCUGAACCAGCCAUGCCGCGUGAAGGAUUAAGGCCCUCUGGGUUGUAAACUUCUUUUAUCUGGGACGAAAAAAGGGUAUUCUUACUCACUUGACGGUACCAGAGGAAUAAGCACCGGCUAACUCCGUGCCAGCAGCCGCGGUAAUACGGAGGGUGCAAGCGUUAUCCGGAUUUACUGGGUUUAAAGGGUGCGUAGGUGGGCUUGUAAGUCAGUGGUGAAAUCUCCGGGCUUAACCCGGAAACUGCCAUUGAUACUAUAGGUCUUGAAUUAUCUGGAGGUAAGCGGAAUAUGUCAUGUAGCGGUGAAAUGCUUAGAUAUGACAUAGAACACCAAUUGCGAAGGCAGCUUACUACGGAUAUAUUGACACUGAGGCACGAAAGCGUGGGGAUCAAACAGGAUUAGAUACCCUGGUAGUCCACGCCCUAAACGAUGGAUACUCGACAUCAGACGAUACACUGUUGGUUGUCGUGAGCGAAGACAUAAGUAUCCACCGUCGGAGGUACGAGCGCGAAGUAGUUAGUUAACGUUACGUAAAGUUAAAGUUAGUACGGCGNGAGACGNGCGACGGACGACGACGAGGGAGGAGG